rnacentral:rRNA from 1 species
UUGGAGGGCAAGUCUGGUGCCAGCAGCCGCGGUAAUUCCAGCUCCAAUAGCGUAUAUUAAAGUUGUUGCAGUUAAAAAGCUCGUAGUUGAAUUUCGGGAUCAGUACGCUGGUCGUGCCUUCGGUAGUAUGCACUGGUGUCACUGAUUCCUUCCUUCUGAAGAACCGUAAUGCCAUUCAGUUGGUGUGGCGGGGAAUUAGGGUUGUUACUUUGAAAAAAUUAGAGUGUUUAAAGCAGGCUCGCGCUUGAAUACAUUAGCAUGGAAUAAUGAAAUAGGACGUUUGAUCCUAUUUUGUUGGUUUCUAGGAUCGACGUAAUGAUUAAUAGGGAUAGUUGGGGGCAUUAGUAUUCAAUUGUCAGAGGUGAAAUUCUUGGAUUUAUUGAAGACUAACUACUGCGAAAGCAUUUGCCAAGGAUGUUUUCAUUAAUCAAGAACGAAAGUUAGGGGAUCGAAGACGAUCAGAUACCGUCGUAGUCUUAACCAUAAACUAUGCCGACUAGGGAUCGGAUGAUGUUAAUUUUUUAAUGGCUCAUUCGGCGCCUUACGGGAAAC